GAGGGGUGUGACCCCAUGCUCCCUGGGGGGGUGUGACCCCGUGCUCCCUGGGGGGUGUGAUGCCGUGCUCCCU
rnacentral:pre_miRNA from 1 species